AAUCCAUGAUGUGGACACGAUAUGAGCAUACUUUUGAAUCUAUCUCAUGCUUCAUAAAGAGAUUUUAUAUCAAUCUGUUUGAAGCUUGCAAUCUGAUUUCUCAUGUGUGU